GACGAACGCUGGCGGCGUGCUUAACACAUGCAAGUCGAACGGAAAGGCCCCUCUCUUGGGGUAUUCUAGUGGCGAACGGGUGAGUAACACGUGAGUAACCUCUCCCUGACAUUGUGAUAACUCUAGGAAACUGGGGCGAAUAUCGGAUAGGGGCGCCUGCUCCGCAGUGGGGGGUGUGAAAUUUCGGCGGUUGGGGAUGGGCUCGCGGCUUAUCAGCUUGUUGGUGGGGUAGUGGCUUACCAAGGCUUUGACGGGUAGCCGGCCUGAGAGGGUGACCGGCCACAUUGGGACUGAGAUACGGCCCAGACUCCUACGGGAGGCAGCAGUGGGGAAUAUUGCACAAUGGGCGGAAGCCUGAUGCAGCAACGCCGCGUGCGGGAUGACGGCCUUCGGGUUGUAAACCGCUUUCGCCUGUGACGAAGCGUGAGUGACGGUAAGGGGUAAAGAAGCACCGGCUAACUACGUG
rnacentral:rRNA from 1 species